rnacentral:rRNA from 1 species
GGUGCUUGCAUCAUGAUUUACAUUUGAGUGAGUGGCGAACUGGUGAGUAACACGUGGGAAACCUGCCCAGAAGCGGGGGAUAACACCUGGAAACAGAUGCUAAUACCGCAUAACAACUUGGACCGCAUGGUCCGAGCUUGAAAGAUGGCUUCGGCUAUCACUUUUGGAUGGUCCCGCGGCGUAUUAGCUAGAUGGUGGGGUAACGGCUCACCAUGGCAAUGAUACGUAGCCGACCUGAGAGGGUAAUCGGCCACAUUGGGACUGAGACACGGCCCAAACUCCUACGGGAGGCAGCAGUAGGGAAUCUUCCACAAUGGACGAAAGUCUGAUGGAGCAACGCCGCGUGAGUGAAGAAGGGUUUCGGCUCGUAAAACUCUGUUGUUAAAGAAGAACAUAUCUGAGAGUAACUGUUCAGGUAUUGACGGUAUUUAACCAGAAAGCCACGGCUAACUACGUGCCAGCAGCCGCGGUAAUACGUAGGUGGCAAGCGUUGUCCGGAUUUAUUGGGCGUAAAGCGAGCGCAGGCGGUUUUUUAAGUCUGAUGUGAAAGCCUUCGGCUCAACCGAAGAAGUGCAUCGGAAACUGGGAAACUUGAGUGCAGAAGAGGACAGUGGAACUCCAUGUGUAGCGGUGAAAUGCGUAGAUAUAUGGAAGAACACCAGUGGCGAAGGCGGCUGUCUGGUCUGUAACUGACGCUAAGGCUCGAAAGUAUGGGUAGCAAACAGGAUUAGAUACCCUGGUAGUCCAUACCGUAAACGAUGAAUGCUAAGUGUUGGGAGGGUUUCCGCCCCUUCAUUG